CCGGCCGCCGCCACCUGCCGCCGCACCGGGGAGAUUUUCGACCGCCGAUCGAGGUAAAUUUCAUACCCCCGACUCGUUUUUCCACGCUGAUUUCUCCUGUGGCCAAAUCGGAGCCAAAAUCCCGGCCAAACGGCCGAAAAACACAGCCGAAACCCAGCGGCGCCGCCGCGCCCCUCCUCGAUUUUUGCCUCCGAUGAGGCCCUUCCCAGCCUCCGUUUGAUGCAAUUUUUAUAUCACCGUGAUCACCAUUCUUUUCUCUACAGGUUGAUCGGAGCCGAAUCACCAAAACACGAACCUCAUCAGAGAGCCGCCGCACCCGAGAGCACCGCCGCCGGUAAGCUUUGAUUUUCCGUAAUUUUUUGGCCCCCCGAGGGCCCUAGGGUUGUUGUAUCACAAGGACUGAUGCAAGUGUGGCCGAAUUCGGCCGGAAACGGCCGAAAACGGCCAAACCGAGGUGAAUCGCCGCCGCCGUGCCGGAAUUGCGAUAUUGGCCGAAAGGGGCCCUAGGUCUGAUUCUGAGAUUUUUGGGACACGUGCAGGUAUCGGUAGCGUGUUUCAAUUUUUCGAAAAAAAAUUCAAGAAAUUUAGGGAUAACCCGCAGGCGCUCGGAAAAGCCUAUUUCGGGUCCCGAAAACAAGUAAGGAUUCCUC
rnacentral:lncRNA from 1 species